AACUUUUAGCAAUGGGUCUCUUGGCUCUCGCGUCGAUGAAGAACGCAGCGAAAUGCGAUACGUAAUGUGAAUUGCAGAAUUCAGUGAAUCAUCGAAUCUUUGAACGCAUAUUGCGCUCUCUGGUAUUCCGGAGAGCAUGCUUGUUUGAGUAUCAGUAAACACCUCAAAUCCCUCUACUUGUUGGAGGAAUUUGGACUUGAGCAAUCCCAACUUUUCGAAAGAGAAGGCGGGUUGCUUGAAAUGCAGGUGCAGCUAGAUUUUUCUUCUGAGCUAUAAGCAUACUUAUUUAAUCCCGUAAAACGGAUUAUUACUUUUGCUGCAGCUAACAUAAAGGUUGAAGAGUCGCGAUGGCUGACUGAUGCAGGAUUAACAUUUCGCGUAAGCGAUUUGUAAACUCGAUCUCAAAUCAAGCAAGACUACCCGCUGAACUUAAGCAUAUCAAUAAGCGGAGGCU
rnacentral:misc_RNA from 1 species